rnacentral:rRNA from 1 species
GAACCUGAAACCGUGUACGUACAAGCAGUGGGAGCACGCUUAGGCGUGUGACUGCGUACCUUUUGUAUAAUGGGUCAGCGACUUAUAUUCUGUAGCAAGGUUAACCGAAUAGGGGAGCCGAAGGGAAACCGAGUCUUAACUGGGCGUUAAGUUGCAGGGUAUAGACCCGAAACCCGGUGAUCUAGCCAUGGGCAGGUUGAAGGUUGGGUAACACUAACUGGAGGACCGAACCGACUAAUGUUGAAAAAUUAGCGGAUGACUUGUGGCUGGGGGUGAAAGGCCAAUCAAACCGGGAGAUAGCUGGUUCUCCCCGAAAGCUAUUUAGGUAGCGCCUCGUGAAUUCAUCUCCGGGGGUAGAGCACUGUUUCGGCAAGGGGGUCAUCCCGACUUACCAACCCGAUGCAAACUGCGAAUACCGGAGAAUGUUAUCACGGGAGACACACGGCGGGUGCUAACGUCCGUCGUGAAGAGGGAAACAACCCAGACCGCCAGCUAAGGUCCCAAAGUCAUGGUUAAGUGGGAAACGAUGUGGGAAGGCCCAGACAGCCAGGAUGUUGGCUUAGAAGCAGCCAUCAUUUAAAGAAAGCGUAAUAGCUCACUGGUCGAGUCGGCCUGCGCGGAAGAUGUAACGGGGCUAAACCAUGCACCGAAGCUGCGGCAGCGACACUAUGUGUUGUUGGGUAGGGGAGCGUUCUGUAAGCCUGUGAAGGUGUGCUGUGAGGCAUGCUGGAGGUAUCAGAAGUGCGAAUGCUGACAUAAGUAACGAUAAAGCGGGUGAAAAGCCCGCUCGCCGGAAGACCAAGGGUUCCUGUCCAACGUUAAUCGGGGCAGGGUGAGUCGACCCCUAAGGCGAGGCCGAAAGGCGUAGUCGAUGGGAAACAGGUUAAUAUUCCUGUACUUGGUGUUACUGCGAAGGGGGGACGGAGAAGGCUAUGUUGGCCGGGCGACGGUUGUCCCGGUUUAAGCGUGUAGGCUGGUUUUCCAGGCAAAUCCGGAAAAUCAAGGCUGAGGCGUGAUGACGAGGCACUACGGUGCUGAAGCAACAAAUGCCCUGCUUCCAGGAAAAGCCUCUAAGCAUCAGGUAACAUCAAAUCGUACCCCAAACCGACACAGGUGGUCAGGUAGAGAAUACCAAGGCGCUUGAGAGAACUCGGGUGAAGGAACUAGGCAAAAUGGUGCCGUAACUUCGG